UACGUAGGGUGCGAGCGUUAAUCGGAAUUACUGGGCGUAAAGCGUGCGCAGGCGGUUUUGUAAGCCAGAUGUGAAAUCCCCGGGCUUAACCUGGGAAUGGCAUUUGGGACUGCAAGGCUGGAGUUUGGCAGAGGAGACUGGAAUUCCUGGUGUAGCAGUGAAAUGCGUAGAUAUCGGAAGGAACAUCAGUGGCGAAAGCGACUUCCUGGACCAAUACUGACGCUCAUGUGCGAAAGCGUGGGGAGCAAACAGG
rnacentral:rRNA from 1 species